rnacentral:rRNA from 1 species
GGGUACACGAGCGGCGAACGGGUGAGUAACACGUGGGUAACCUGCCCUGUACUCUGGGAUAAGCCUGGGAAACUAGGUCUAAUACCGGAUAUGACUCCACUAGGCAUCUUGUGGGGUGGAAAGUUCCGGCGGUACAGGAUGGACCCGCGGCCUAUCAGCUUGUUGGUGGGGUAAUGGCCUACCAAGGCGACGACGGGUAGCCGGCCUGAGAGGGUGACCGGCCACACUGGGACUGAGACACGGCCCAGACUCCUACGGGAGGCAGCAGUGGGGAAUAUUGCACAAUGGGCGAAAGCCUGAUGCAGCGACGCCGCGUGAGGGAUGACGGCCUUCGGGUUGUAAACCUCUUUCAGCGGGGACGAAGGGCAACUGACGGUACCCGCAGAAGAAGCACCGGCUAACUACGUGCCAGCAGCCGCGGUAAUACGUAGGGUGCGAGCGUUGUCCGGAAUUAUUGGGCGUAAAGAGCUCGUAGGCGGUUUGUUGCGUCGGCUGUGAAAACUUCACGCUUAACGUGGAGCCUGCAGUCGAUACGGGCAGACUUGAGUUCGGCAGGGGAGACUGGAAUUCCUGGUGUAGCGGUGAAAUGCGCAGAUAUCAGGAGGAACACCGGUGGCGAAGGCGGGUCUCUGGGCCGAUACUGACGCUGAGGAGCGAAAGCGUGGGGAGCGAACAGGAUUAGAUACCCUGGUAGUCCACGCCGUAAACGGUGGGUGCUAGGUGUGGGGGACUUCCACGUCCUCCGUGCCGCAGCUAACGCAUUAAG